rnacentral:rRNA from 1 species
AGCUUCGGCCAUCCGGCGAGGGAUGGGCCCGCGGUGCAUUAGCUAGUUGGUGGGGUAAAGGCCCACCAAGGCGACGAUGCGUAGCUGGUCUGAGAGGAUGAUCAGCCACACUGGGACUGAGACACGGCCCAGACUCCUACGGGAGGCAGCAGCCAGGAAUCUUGGGCAAUGGGCGAAAGCCUGACCCAGCAACACCGUGUGGGCGAUGAAGGCCUUCGGGUCGUAAAGCCCUGUUGAUAGGGACGAAGGGCGAAGGGUUAAUAGCCC